CGCUCGCCGGAGCAGCGUGCA
rnacentral:miRNA from 1 species